ACUGUUAAAGGGCCCCUACUCUUCUCUUCCAUAAACCACUGUGCCCUGGGAAUCUAUAAAAGGACCAUGGGAAAGACUGUUCCUCAAAUAUUUGCCCCUAGAAGCCUUCUUUCAAAGAACCUACAUUAGGGAAAAACCGCUCUAAGCCCAGGUAUCCCUCUGCACCCAUGUUGGGGAAGAAGGCUACAGACUGUGUGUGCUCUGUAAUCAGCAGAUUCUACCAGAUUGAUAGGGAAGGACUUGUCACCCCUGUGUUGUGUCUUAAGGCCACUUUCUAGAUGUCGAGCCUGGCUCAGCCACAGAGGGAGAGCGGACCUACCUAACUGGACCUAACUCUGGACUCCAAAUGGGCUCCUGGUGCCUCAAGAAAGAUGGCCCACAGUCCUGUGUUCUGAUGACCUGGUGUCACACCGCCAAAGAGAACAUUCUGCUUCCUUGGUUUC